AUUCACGCCAGCGUAUUUAAUUUGCAUUUGAUAGCAUGCUAAUGUGAUGGAAAUUAAUGGAAUUUGCGCUCUAAUAAUCUAUACUUAUGCUAUAUUUUUGAGGAGACUUAUUUAAAAUCAAAAAAUGAAAAGACCAGUUGGUCAGGCGGAAAAUUGCGUUGAUGAUUAAUUUGAGACACUAAUAACUUCAGACACUAUUAAUUUGUGGCGUGGUGCUAAUUUGAUAGAAAUUCUCUAAAACUUGCGCUCUAUGAUAAUCGCUAUUGAUCCUACAUUUUUGGGAAGGAGACGUGUUGAUAAAAUAAAAUAAAAAAUGAAAAAAUCAGUGGGCAAGGCGUAAAAUUGCGUUGAUGAUCAGAUACAUUAGAAUACGUUUGAUUCACGCGAACGUACGUGGUAGCAUGCUAAUUUGAUAGAAAUUCUCUAAAACUUGCGCUGUAAUAAUCGCCAUUGAUCUUACAUUUUUGGGAAGGAGACGUGUUGAUAAAAUAAAAAAUGAAAAAAAGCAGUGGGCCAGGCGUAAAAUUGCGUUGAUGAUCAGAUACAUUAGAAUACGUUUGAUUCACACGAACGUACUAAUUUGCAUUUUGUGCCGUGGUAGCAUGCUAAUUUGAUAGAAAUUCUCUAAAACUUGCGCUCUAAUAAUCACCAUUUAUCCUAUAUUUUUGGAAAGGAGAUGUGUUGAUAAGAUAAAAAAAUAAAAAAACAGUUGGCCAGGCGCAAAAUUGCGUUGAUUACUACAUUGAUUAGAACACGUUUAAUUCACGCCAGCGUAUUUAAUUUGCAUUUGAUGGCAUGCUAAUGUGAUGGAAAUUAAUGGAAUUUGCGCUUUAAUAAUCUACACUUAUGCUAUAUUUUUGAGAAGGAGACUUAUUUAAAAUCAAAAAAAUGAAAAGACCAGUUGGUCAGGCGGAAAAUUGCAUUGAUGAUUAAUUUGAGACACUAAUAACUUCAGACACUAUAAAACUUGCGCUCUAUGAUAAUCGCUAUUGAUCCUACAUUUUUGGGAAGGAGACGUGUUGAUAAAAUAAAAUAAAAAAUGAAAAAAUCAGUGGGCAAGGCGUAAAAUUGCGUUGAUGAUCAGAUACAUUAGAAUACGUUUGAUUCACACGAACGUACGUGGUAGCAUGCUAAUUUGAUAGAAAUUCUCUAAAACUUGCGCUGUAAUAAUCGCCAUUGAUCUUACAUUUUUGGGAAGGAGACGUGUUGAUAAAAUAAAAAAUGAAAAAAAGCAGUGGGCCAGGCGUAAAAUUGCGUUGAUGAUCAGAUACAUUAGAAUACGUUUGAUUCACGCGAACAUACUAAUUUGCAUUUUGUGCCGUGGUAGCAUGCUAAUUUGAUAGAAAUUCUCUAAAACUUGCGCUCUAAUAAUCGCCAUGUAAUCUAUAUUUUUGGGAAGGAGACGUUUUGAUAAAAUAAAAAAAUGAAAAAAUCAGUGGGCCAGGCGUAAAAUUGCGUUGAUGAUCAGAUACAUUAGAAUACGUUUGAUUCACGCGAACGUACUAAUUUGCAUUUCGUGCCGUGGUAGCAUGCUAAUUUGAUAGAAAUUCUCUAAAACUUGCGCUCUAAUGAUCGCCAUUUAUCCUAUAUUUUUGGAAAGGAGACGUGUUGAUAAAAUAAAAAAUAAAAAAAAACAGUUGGCCAGGCGCAAAAUUGCGUUGAUUACUAGAUUGAUUAGAACACGUUUAAUUCACGCCAGCGUAUUUAAUUUGCAUUUGAUAGCAUGCUAAUGUAUGGAAAUUAAUGGAAUUUGCGCUCUAAUAAUCUAUACUUAUGCUAUAUUUUUGAGGAGACUUAUUUAAAAUCAAAAAAUGAAAAGACCAGUUGGUCAGGCGGAAAAUUGCGUUGAUGAUUAAUUUGAGACACUAAUAACUUCAGACACUAUUAAUUUGUGGCGUGGUGCUAAUUUGAUAGAAAUUCUCUAAAACUUGCGCUCUAUGAUAAUCGCUAUUGAUCCUACAUUUUUGGGAAGGAGACGUGUUGAUAAAAUAAAAUAAAAAAUGAAAAAAUCAGUGGGCAAGGCGUAAAAUUGCGUUGAUGAUCAGAUACAUUAGAAUACGUUUGAUUCACGCGAACGUACGUGGUAGCAUGCUAAUUUGAAAGAAAUUCUCUAAAACUUGCGCUGUAAUAAUCGCCAUUGAUCUUACAUUUUUGGGAAGGAGACGUGUUGAUAAAAUAAAAAAUGAAAAAAAGCAGUGGGCCAGCCGUAAAAUUGCGUUGAUGAUCAGAUACAUUAGAAUACGUUUGAUUCACGCGAACGUACUAAUUUGCAUUUUGUGCCG